UUGCAUUUCAGCGUUCUGCAUGUUAUAUUUAAGAUGUCGAUUUUCGACUGUGACACCAGAAGCGGUAUGAAAUAGAUACGUUGGACCCGGGGGCGGUACCCGGCACCUCCACCAAUUUUUUAGAAAAACAAAGAUAUUUUUCGGUUAUAUAAAAAAGAGUUUAUAAGUGCUUUGCUGCGCAGAUAUUUUUGAGCGAAGUUUACAUCAAAAGUAAAUGAGCGAAAAAAAUAUCAAGCAUGAAAAUAUUUUUCUGCUACACGAAAAAGUAGAUAAACGUUUUGCUGCGCAGAUAUUUUUGAGCGAAGUUUACAUAAAAAGUAAAUGAGCGAAAAAACAUCAAGCAUGAAAAUGUUUAUAUAGUUUUUACUGGGGGUGAAAAGGUUAGACAGUGUAUAAUAAAGAUAUUUGCUGUGUUCGGUGAGAUACCACCGUUAUCGGUUCAAAAUAAAUAAACGCAAAUGAUAAUUUUGCACCGGUUGCAGUCGCAGCUUAAGCUUGCUAAAGCAACAAAUUCAAUUCUUUAGGUCUUGGUUGACUUAAAGUGAGGUUUGGGCCACCCAGCAACAGGACGG
rnacentral:tmRNA from 1 species